rnacentral:tRNA from 1 species
GCCGAGAUAGCUCAGCUGGGAGAGCGUUAGACUGAAGAUCUAAAGGUCCCUGGUUCGAUCCCGGGUCUCGGCA